GUGGGGGCUUUGUCGAAGACCGCUUGACGUUUGAUAGUGCGACAAUUGUGGUUCAAAACGAAGCCCAAAGCAAUUUUUGAUACGACGGUCUCUGCUUUGUGAUUUUUACACAAUUCAGUAACUUUUACGUGCAAUUACAAAA
rfam:Drosophila busckii chromosome 3L sequence.